GCCGAAGGCAGCGGCUUAACCCACUGAGCCACCCAGGCACCCCAGAAAAAAAGCAUUCCUAACAGAGUUAUGUGGUGUGGCGACACGGACCCCGAGAGGUCAGUAGGGCCAGAGUGUAGAUGUGGC